AUUGAACGCUGGCGGCAUGCCUUACACAUGCAAGUCGAACGGUAACAGGUUAAGCGGUCGUGUCGCGAGGGGGAGAGUAAUGUAUUGGAACGUGACGUGUCGUGGGGGAUAACUGAACGAAAGAGCAGCUAUUAUCGCAUACGAUCUGAGGGUGAAAGCGGGGGAUCGGAAGACCUCGCGCGAUUGGAGUGGCCGAUAUCAGAUUAGGUAGUUGGUGAGGUAAAGGCUAACCAAGCCGACGAUCUGUAGCUGGUCUGAGAGGACGACCAGCCACACUGGGACUGAGACACGGCCCAGACUCCUACGGGAGGCAGCAGUGGGGAAUUUUGGACAAUGGGCGCAAGCCUGAUCCAGCCAUGCCGCGUGCAGGAAGAAGGCCUUCGGGUUGUAAACUGCUUUUGUCAGGGAAGAAAAGGUUCUGGCUAAUACCUGGGGCACAUGACGGUACCGUAAGAAUAAGCACCGGCUAACUACGUG
rnacentral:rRNA from 1 species